rnacentral:sRNA from 1 species
GCUAGGCAUAGGGGUGCUUGCCUGUAAUCCCAGCAGCUUGGGAGGCUGAGGCAGGAGGAUCUCGAAUUCCAGGCCAGCCUCAGCAACUUUAGUGAGGCUCUGAGCAAUUUAGUGACACUCUGCCUCAA